rnacentral:rRNA from 1 species
GGGGCUAGCGGCGGACGGGUGAGUAACACGUGGGCAAUCUGCCUUUCAGACUGGAAUAACACUCGGAAACGGGUGCUAAUGCCGGAUAAUACACGGGUAGGCAUCUACUUGUGUUGAAAGAUGCAACUGCAUCGCUGAGAGAGGAGCCCGCGGCGCAUUAGCUAGUUGGUGAGGUAACGGCUCACCAAGGCGACGAUGCGUAGCCGACCUGAGAGGGUGACCGGCCACACUGGGACUGAGACACGGCCCAGACUCCUACGGGAGGCAGCAGUAGGGAAUCUUCCGCAAUGGGCGCAAGCCUGACGGAGCAACGCCGCGUGAGCGAAGAAGGCCUUCGGGUUGUAAAGCUCUGUUGCUCGGGGAGAGCGACAAGGAGAGUGGAAAGCUCCUUGUGAGACGGUACCGAGUGAGGAAGCCCCGGCUAACUACGUGCCAGCAGCCGCGGUAAUACGUAGGGGGCAAGCGUUGUCCGGAAUCACUGGGCGUAAAGCGUGCGUAGGCGGUUGUGUAAGUCUGAAGUGAAAGUCCAAGGCUCAACCUUGGGAUUGCUUUGGAAACUGCAUGACUUGAGUGCUGGAGAGGCAAGGGGAAUUCCACGUGUAGCGGUGAAAUGCGUAGAUAUGUGGAGGAAUACCAGUGGCGAAGGCGCCUUGCUGGACAGUGACUGACGCUGAGGCACGAAAGC